rnacentral:rRNA from 1 species
GACGAACCACACAAACGUUAUUCGGAAUUACUGGGCUUAAAGGGUGCGUAGGCGGCGUGGAAAGUUGGGUGUGAAAUCCCUCAGCUUAACUGAGGAACAGCGCCCAAAACUACCAUGCUCGAGGGAGAUAGAGGAAUGCGGAACUUAGGGUGGAGCGGUGAAAUGCGUUGAUAUCCUAGGGAACACCGGUGGCGAAGCGGCAUUCUGGAUCUCUUCUGACGCUGAGGCACGAAAGCUAGGUAGCAACGGG